rnacentral:rRNA from 1 species
AUUGAACGCUGGCGGAAUGCUUUACACAUGCAAGUCGAGCGGCAGCACGGGGGCAACCCUGGUGGCGAGCGGCGAACGGGUGAGUAACACAUCGGAACGUACCCUGUCGUGGGGGAUAACGAGUCGAAAGAUUCGCUAAUACCGCAUACGACCCGAGGGUGAAAGCGGGGGAUCGCAAGACCUCGCGCGACUGGAGCGGCCGAUGGCGGAUUAGCUAGUUGGUGGGGUAAAGGCCCACCAAGGCGACGAUCCGUAGCGGGUCUGAGAGGACGGCCCGCCACACUGGGACUGAGACACGGCCCAGACUCCUACGGGAGGCAGCAGUGGGGAAUUUUGGACAAUGGGGGGCAACCCUGAUCCAGCCAUUCCGCGUGAGUGAAGAAGGCCUUCGGGUUGUAAGCCCUUUGUCCGGUAAGAAAG